rnacentral:rRNA from 1 species
GAUGAACGCUGGCGGCGUGCCUAAUACAUGCAAGUCGAGCGAACGGACGAGAAGCUUGCUUCUCUGAUGUUAGCGGCGGACGGGUGAGUAACACGUGGAUAACCUACCUAUAAGACUGGGAUAACUUCGGGAAACCGGAGCUAAUACCGGAUAAUAUUUUGAACCGCAUGGUUCAAAGGUGAAAGACGGUCUUGCUGUCACUUAUAGAUGGAUCCGCGCUGCAUUAGCUAGUUGGUAAGGUAACGGCUUACCAAGGCAACGAUGCAUAGCCGACCUGAGAGGGUGAUCGGCCACACUGGAACUGAGACACGGUCCAGACUCCUACGGGAGGCAGCAGUAGGGAAUCUUACGCAAUGGGCGAAAGCCUGACGGAGCAACGCCGCGUGAGUGAUGAAGGUCUUCGGAUCGUAAAACUCUGUUAUUAGGGAAGAACAUAUGUGUAAGUAACUGUGCACAUCUUGACGGUACCUAAUCAGAAAGCCACGGCUAACUACGUG